rnacentral:piRNA from 1 species
ACUGGAUAAGUUGGUGCACUUA